GACGAACGCUGGCGGCGUGCUUAACACAUGCAAGUCGAACGAAGAGCGAUGGACGCUUGCUUCUAUCAAUCUUAGUGGCGAACGGGUGAGUAACGCGUAAUCAACCUGCCCUUCAGAGGGGGACAACAGUUGGAAACGACUGCUAAUACCGCAUACGAUCUAAUCUCGGCAUCGAGGAUAGAUGAAAGGUGGCCUCUACAUGUAAGCUAUCACUGAAGGAGGGGAUUGCGUCUGAUUAGCUAGUUGGAGGGGUAACGGCCCACCAAGGCGAUGAUCAGUAGCCGGUCGGAGAGGAUGAACGGCCACAUUGGGACUGAGACACGGCCCAGACUCCUACGGGAGGCAGCAGUGGGGAAUCUUCCGCAAUGGACGAAAGUCUGACGGAGCAACGCCGCGUGAGCGAUGACGGCCUUCGGGUUGGAAAGCUCUGUUAAUCGGGACGAAAGGCCUUCUUGCGAAUAGUGAGAAGGAUUGACGGUACCGGAAUAGAAAGCCACGGCUAACUACGUG
rnacentral:rRNA from 1 species